rnacentral:rRNA from 1 species
UACGUAGGGUGCAAGCGUUGUCCGGAAUUAUUGGGCGUAAAGAGCUCGUAGGCGGUUUGUUGCGUCGGCUGUGAAAUCCCCGAGGCUCAACCUCGGGUCUGCAGUCGAUACGAGCAAACUAGAGUGUUGCAGGGGAGACUGGAAUUCCUGGUGUAGCGGUGAAAUGCGCAGAUAUCAGGAGGAACACCGGUGGCGAAGGCGGGUCUCUGGGCAACAACUGACGCUGGAGGAGCGAAAGCGUGGGAGCGAACAGG